CCUACGGGGUGCUGCAGUAGGGAAUCUUCCACAAUUGACGAAAGUCUGAUGGAGCAACGCCGCGUGAGUGAAGAAGGGUUUCGGCUCGUAAAGCUCUGUUGGUAGUGAAGAAAGAUAGAGGUAGUAACUGGCCUUUAUUUGACGGUAAUUACUUAGAAAGUCAAGGCUAACUACGUGCCAGCAGCCGCGGUCAUACGGAGGUGGCAAGCGGUGUCCGGAUUUUGUGGGCGUAAAGCGAGUGCAGGCGGUUCAAUAAGUCUGAUGUGAAAGCCUUGGGCUCAACCGGAGAAUUGCAUCAGAAACGGUUGAACUUUAGUGCAGAAGAAGAGAGUUGAACUCCAUGUGUAGCGGUGGAAUGCGUAGAUAUAUGGAAGAACACCAGUGGCGAAGGCGGCUCUCUGGUCUGCAACUGACGCUGAGGCUCGAAAGCAUGGGUAGCGAACAGGAUUAGAUACCCCGGUAGUC
rnacentral:rRNA from 1 species